rnacentral:lncRNA from 1 species
GGUACAGUACAAAUGCUAUAAUGGAAUGAGAAAACAUUUAGCUAAGAAUUUGCUCUCAAGUAGGUAGACAAUUUUAAAAGUUGUAUUAUUUAAAAAUCCUUAAAUGUGGCAUUCUUCCUGUCCUACCUUUGGAAUAUGUUUCAGGUGUAUGGGAAGAAUCUGACCCUGUUCUUGGACUACAAGGCACAAUUCCUAACCCGGGAAGAAAUUUCUGCUAAUUGGUGUUGGUUCUGCAGAAACCAAUCCCCCAACAAAAAAACAGAUGCUGACCUUUUCUGAGCAAGAAAUAUGAUUUUUUAUGAGAAAACAGAUGUUUUUGAUCAGAGUUUGCAAAUUUAGUAUUUGGUCCCACACAAACACCUGCAGGAAUUAUUAUUAAUAAUAACAAUAAUAAUAUGGUUAUGUGCUUAUUAUGGGUCAAGCACUGUUCUAAGUGAUGAGGUAAGUGCAAGUUAAUCAAGUUGAAUACAGUCCCACAUGCAGCUCACAGCAUAAGUAGAAGGGAAAAAAUAGUAUGGAAUCCCUAUUUUGCAGUGGAGGAAACUGAGGCAGAGAAGUUAAGUGACUUGCCCAAGGUUAUACAAUAGGUCCUCUGACUCCCAGGCCUGAGUUCUUCUGAAGCCAGCAUUAACCAGUUUUGUCUCCAAGCUAUCCCUGGCCACCUAAAUGUCACCAUUCUUGCAUCAAUGAUAACCACAUUUUGGCUUUUCUAGCCUCCCUCAGCCCUGUUGGUUAAACUUCACUAGCCUCUUUGGAAAGUUCCAAGAAAACUGAUAAUGCUUGGGGAAACAGUGUUUCCAAGAGAGCAGCUGGGUGCAAAACUAAUAUGAAGAGAGCCUACCUCCAUUGACUAUCACAGUGCUUUCCGAUUGGGGAUGGAAAUAUUUUACUUCCACUUAUAGUCAAAUUACUCCUUGUACUGGAAACACAACCACCAAUAAUCUGUUUAUAUAGUACUAGUCUCCCUUGUUCUUUUCCACUGUGAGAUUCCCGGAAGGCCCAUCUCUUGUCUAUUAAAGGUACACUCUCCUGGUGUGGGAAAAAGAAUUUAAUUACCAAUGGAAAACAGGGAAACUGUUUCUCAAGAAAAAAGAAUUAGGCAGCUUAGUAACAUUUUGGUUGUUUCCUGAAUUAGCAAAUAAGAUCGGAUAAGAACCAGAAUAUUAGUAGAUAAAAAUGAUUAGCAACCCAAGGCAGCAGCAUCAAGCAGAUUCCUGGGGUAAUUAGAAAGCUUUCGGUCAGUCUGCAGAAAUUUCGGCAAAAGAAUCGAAAAUCCUCUUUCAUUCAAAUAAAAACGAGGCUGUUUUGUUUGUGGUGAUAUCCUUGAUUUGAGCUACUUCCUCAUAAAGAUCCAGGUUUUGUUUUUUCCCAUUAAACACUGGUCAGAGACAGGUUAAGGGGUGGCAUUCCCCCCUGCAAACAAUAAGAGAUCCAAAAGAUAUUUACCCCUUAUAGUCUUUUGUAAGCAAGUUUUAGAUUUACAGUUCUUUCUGCAAACACCUCAGAAAGCAAAACUGUUUACUAUUCAACAGUGAGCCAUAAUCACCGGUUGCAUAGCGGAACAUUUGUUUAUGUUCCGUAUAUAAUCAAACAUCGUCCAAACUACUAAGUACACAAAUGUAUAUCAGCCACCAUUAAUACCCAAAACUCGUAGCAGUAGUACAGUAAUAGAAAUCCUACCUAUUGAGCACCCACUGGGUGAAGGGCACUAUAUUAAACACGGGAAUAUACAACAGAUGCACGCAAAGGAAGCUAAAAUAUACCAGGGGAAACCAACAUAAAAAUCUUAGCAGAUACCUAUCAACUCCAUUGUAUUGUAUUCUCUCAAGUGCUUAGCACUGUGCUCUGCACACAAUAAGUGCCCAAUAAAUACCACUGAUUGAACCAGUGCUUCAGGCUGAAUUUUCAUUCUUGUUCAAUUCUUAUAUGUCCUGGCCCGAUUUAUUUCCACAGAAGGGCCAAAUUAAAGGAACACAACCAAGAGGAUGAGCUCUUCUCUUCUAAACAU